ensembl:lncRNA
GGUUAUCACACUAGGGGGCGAGCGAGAGCAGCGGGGCGGAAGUGAGACCGUUUAAAUCAACCCACCGAGAAAGACGGGAACGUUAAACAGUGUAAUAUGACUACUGGACGCGAGGGGCGAGCGAGAGCGAAAUGCAGGAAGUUUUCCACGUAUUAAAGCAGGGGGGUCCAAACUUUUUCCACUGAGGGCCACAGACAGAAAAAUAUGCGAAAGGUUGAGCCGCUCACUAAAGUUAAGGUAUAUCACCUCUAGUGUAUUAACAGUAAUACAAAUCAAUCAAUCAAAUGUAGGUAAAUUAUGCUUGAUAAUUUAUUAUACUUACAGAAAAAACUGCAUACAUCACAUCUUUCUAUGUAUGGGUUUUCAUUUUUUUUACAAAAAGGGUUGGCAGCUCAUCCUCAGAUUGCUUCUUCGUCAGGAUGGGGACCCCCUUCACAGCCCUGUAUAAAGAGGAAAGGCUUUAUUUAACCUACUUAUGCAAAUCAUUCAUCAGCUAACGUGUUUUAGAAAAUGUGAUCAACUUUAAUUGAGAUGGCUGUCGCUCAUUUUGGUUCUCAAUCUGCUUUUGUUCAGAGUUCACAGAGAAAAUGUUUGCUCGCAUAUGUAUGUUGUGCCAAACAGACUGGUCAUUCUUUUUGCGUGGCGUCGCGUCAGAGGAAACUUGGCCUUUUCCAAGCUCCGGUAGAAGUCGGGUAGGGAGAGGAGCUGCAUCUCGAUGAGUUCUAAUUGCAGACUCUCUUCCACUUCUUCUGCAUCCAGCAGGAAGGGAGUUGAGAACAGCUUGAUUUCUUUCUCAAUGACAGAAACAUCUUGGAAGCGCUGAUUGAAUUGUGUCAUAAGAGUUGUGAUCACAGAAACAUAUUUCCCCUUUUUAGCAGAGAGGUCGGCCUUUGGAUGAGCACGUUUGAUUUCGGACAGCGUAGGGAAGUGCGCAAGGUUGAAGUUGCGUAGUUGUGUCUCAAAAAGACGAAGCUUCGCACAGAAAGUUGUGGCACAAGCUGGUCUCUGCCUUUUAGGCUCUUGUUCAGUGAGUUCAGAUGACCAGUAAGAUCAACUAGAAAGGCAAUAAGGGAAUAAAACCGCUUCAGCACGGAGCCGCGACUAAGCCAGCGCACGUCACAAUGAUAGAGUACGUCCCCGUAUUCAGCAUCGACAUCAGAUAGGAAAGCUUAGUUCUCUGUGGUAGAGCCCUCGUGCUCGAAUUAUGUUGACAGUUUUCACAACUGUGGUCAUCACAUCGCCAAGCUGGACUGUCUUGGCACAGAGAGCUUCUUGGUGGAUGAUACAGUGCAAUUUUACAGCCUCGCCUCCACUCUCUGGCACCUUGGCGCACACCAUAGAUGCCAUUCCUUUGGGCUCGCCUGUCAUAGCGGGAGCCCCGUUCGUUGCAACUCCACACAGCUCGUCCCAUUUAAGUUCCAUCUUGUCAAUUGCACCUGACGCGGCUUCAAAAAUGUCCUCCCCCGUUGUUGUGCCCUUUAGACUCCGAAGAUCAAGCAGCUCCUCCGUGAUGCAAAAGUCAUCGUCAACUCCCCGUUCCAUUCAACGCACAAUUGUGUUUGUGGACAUGCUCACGUUGUUGAAUUCCUGCAUCUUUUCCGGGCACAUUAUUCCAGCGACUUUAAUGAGGCACUGUUUAACCAAGUCAGCGUCUGAGAAAGCUUUCCCGCGGCGCGCUAUGAGUUGAGCUACCUCAUAGCUAGCUAUUGUAGCGUUUUCUUGUGUGUUGUUAGCAGGGUAAAAGUACUGUUGUUGAGCCUGCAGGUUAGCUGCCAUGUGCUGGACUUUGUCCUCUUGCUCAGCAGCAGUGUAGGACGUGAAGGUCGGAUGCUUGGUUUCGUAGUGUCGUCGUACAUUGGACUCUUUCAUCACUGCAACCGUUUCAUUGCAAAUCAAACAGACACACUUCUCCUUGACUUCUUUAAAGAAAUAUUCAUUUUCCCACCGUGUUUAAAAUGUUCUGCAUUCACUUGCUAUCUUGCGUUUCUUUGCUUCUGCCAUUUUGUCGUUGCGGAAUUUUUUUAUUUAAACAUUUUUUUUGUGGAAAAGCUGCAUUAGGACUGCAGCUAGUGAGUAGCUCCACCUACUGGUCAAACUAAGAACUACAAUACAGUCAAGGGCAAGUUUCAUGUGUGGGCCACAUUCCAUUCUAUUUUUAUAAUUUGCUGGGCCAAUAAAAAAUGGAUCCCGGGCCGCAGUUGGCCCGCGGGCCGUAUUUUGGACACCCCUGUAUUAAAGCAACGAGGAAGACGACAGUUGCACUGCUAUGGCAACGCCAUCUGUUGCUAGGGACUACGGCUUGGACGAAGGAGGGGGGGGAUACUUAGACGCGGCGCGAGGAGAUUCUGUCCCGCGACCAGCGGAACGUAGAUCAGCAACGUGAAUCAGGAUGGUCGGAUCCAUGUGUGUGCAGUUACAGAACCAACGAUGUGGCUGGCGAUACGAAAUGAAACCACAGGCAAACGGAUCUCACGGCGGAGACCCGGGAAAAGAAAAGAAAAUAAGGAACUAUUCUGACCAUGAGACAUCAUUCAACAGCGUAACACAGUCGGCGCUUUCACUCUCUUACAGCAAACGUAUCACAGCAUCAGAUCAACAGGGGACAUUACGACAUUUGCAGGUACACAUUCAAACAUAAAUCAAAGGUAGCGGAUUCGUUGAUCCGGACUCUAUCGUACCACGUUAUGACUGAACAAAUCACAUAAACAUCAAGUUCAUAUCAACACGCUAAAUUAGUCUGCCCAGAAAACCAGUGUUACUGUUUGAUGGGCGUUGGUCAUCAGCUUCCAGCUGACUGAGGACAGUUGA